rnacentral:rRNA from 1 species
GACGAACGCUGGCGGCGUGCCUAAUACAUGCAAGUAGAACGCUGAAGAGAGGAGCUUGCUCUUCUUGGAUGAGUUGCGAACGGGUGAGUAACGCGUAGGUAACCUGCCUUGUAGCGGGGGAUAACUAUUGGAAACGAUAGCUAAUACCGCAUAACAAUGGAUGACACAUGUCAUUUAUUUGAAAGGGGCAAUUGCUCCACUACAAGAUGGACCUGCGUUGUAUUAGCUAGUAGGUGAGGUAAUGGCUCACCUAGGCGACGAUACAUAGCCGACCUGAGAGGGUGAUCGGCCACACUGGGACUGAGACACGGCCCAGACGCCUACGGGAGGCAGCAGUAGGGAAUCUUCGGCAAUAGGGGCAACCCUGACCGAGCAACGCCGCGUGAGUGAAGAAGGUUUUCGGAUCGUAAAGCUCUGUUGUAAGUCAAGAACGGGGGUGAGAGUGGAAAGUUCACACUGUGACGGUAGCUUACCAGAAAGGGACGGCUAACUACGUG